rnacentral:misc_RNA from 1 species
UUGGAAUGUAACAGUAGGUUGCUUGUUAUUUGCAAAUAUGGUGCAGUUAAUAGGAGAUUAGCCACACGCCAUAGUUAAAAUCUUGUUUUUCAGAUCAAGGCGCACAUAGUGACAUCUAUUUGGCCAUAACCAAAUGUUCAGUCUUAUAUAAAAAAAUUUACAAAUGCUUCAGUAUGGUAGAGUUGAAGAGAAGGUUUCGCCAGAUUCACUUGGCAAAUCGCAUUGUCCACUCUGCAGCUAGUUCAUCAUGUUUUGCUCUGUCGGCCAAGUACAAGUGGGCGAUGCUAGAGACAAGAGGAUUAUAAGGGUCAGGAUGAGUAAACAUUGAUCUGAUUGCAAGUAGCACUUUAUUAAUUGUAAGAGCAGGACUCCAACCAUCCUUCAAUAUGUCCAAACUAAGGUUGCCAGCAGAAUCAACGUUACAAUGAUAUAUACGAGUUUUUAACACUACCUUUGGAGGCUUGAAUGGAUAACCACUUGGAAAUGUUAUGUCAAGAAAAAAUAUACCACCUUGGUAUGGUGUUCCUACAAAAAAAAAUAUUAAAAAAAUUUGUCAAAAUUAGAUUUCAGUGGGCUAGUGUAGGCCUCUGGAAACCAGUGUUUAUAUGUAGUACAAAAAUAUCUACAGUCAGCUACCGCUUAUGGAUGGUUUCAAAGUAUCAUAUCUGAGGCAAUCAGUUCUUCUAGCCAAAAAAAAAGGGUAAAAGAACAUAAAUAAAGAAGAGAAAACAUACACUUUAGGGAAAGAAAGAAAAUGAAGAAAAAGAAAUAAGCAGUAAGAACAAUAUCAGGUAUAAUUAUCAAAUAGAACAAUAUUGGAUCUGAGAAAUCUUAAUACACGUGCAUAUGCAUAUAUAACACAUCUGAGUGUCAUGCAUUCAUGUUCAUGUGUAUGCGCGCUGUAUGCAUAAUUGCAUAUAUAGGAUGUUGCCAACUUCUCCAAAUUUUGAGCAAAUUAGCAAAGCCUCAACUAUUGCUAGAAAAACGCCCCCAAAUAUCCUCUUUUACACUCAAAGGAAAUUGGAGAGAAUUGUAGUUUAAUAAUGCAAGAAAUUGAUUAUUGAUCAACCUUUCAAUGUCAAAUCCCUUCUCCCUUCUCCCUUGCAUCAAUAUUAAUAAAACUGGAUUAGACUAUCAAACGUGGGAUAACUCCUCAAUAGUUCAGUCUAAUGAUAUAACUCAAGUAGUUAUCCAAGAUGAAGCCCCAGA